rnacentral:rRNA from 1 species
GACGAACCGUGCGAACGUUGUUCGGAAUCAUUGGGCUUAAAGGGCGCGUAGGCGGGUGGACAAGUCAGGGGUGAAAGCCCACGGCUCAACCGUGGAAGUGCCUUUGAUACUGUCCGUCUGGAGGGAGGUAGGGGCGUGCGGAACUUCCGGUGGAGCGGUGAAAUGCGUAGAUAUCGGAAGGAACACCGGUGGCGAAAGCGGCGCGCUGGACCUCUUCUGACGCUGAGGCGCGAAAGCCAGGGGAGCGAACGGGAUUAGAUACCCCGGUAGUCCUGGCCCUAAACGAUGGGUACUAGGUAGUGGACUGACAUGGGUUCACUGCCGAAGCAAAAGUGAUAAGUACCCCGCCUGGGGAGUAUGGUCGCAAGGCUGAA